GGAGGGGUGCGAGAGUGGUUGAAUCGGGCAGUCUCGAAAACUGUUGUGCGCUUCGGCGUACCGUGGGUUCGAAUCCCACCCCCUCCG
rnacentral:tRNA from 1 species